rnacentral:lncRNA from 1 species
CUUUUGGUACAAGUCCUGGUUCUUUUGAUUUUAGUGGUUUAUUCAGGGCUCCAAGAAAUGAUGAUAGGAAGGAAGUGAAUGGGUAUGUUAAAGGAUCAGUGACGUACAUGAUAUCAGAUGACCUGACAGUGAAGCCCAAGCCAGGCAUUUCUUGUGUAAGGUUUCUUAAGAGCUUAGGUGUCAAAGACAUGGAUACCGUGGAAGAAAAAAUUGUGAAGAUCGACGCCAAGAAGGUCUCCCUGAUUUCAACAUCCAAUUUACAAUGUCUCCGCAACAAUAUUAGAAUCCAGAUUUAAAGUUUACAUCAACAUUCAUAUGAUUAAUCUCUUUAGCAUAUCUAAUAUCAAAAGUAUAUGGUUUAGUAUAUGGUUCUUAACUCUUAUAAUAACAUUUUUCCUCAUCCUGAGACUGAGAUGUUCUCAGUAUUAGGCUCUGUUCUUGUCUAACUAUUUCUUCACAUAUUGGCCGAUUUCAGGCUUUGCAGUUGGUGAAGACUUCCUUUGAAUCCAGUACUGUUCUCACGGACGUAUUUGUUGGAAAGACGGGGAAGAAAUGUGAUACUGAUGAGUGAUGAGUGCUUCCAACUCCACAAAGAAUGUAUGUCCUAGUUAAAACUUUGUUUCUUCUAGUACCCCCUCCCCGCUCCUCCUAAAACUUUUGUCGAAGAGAACGUUUACUAUCUGCAUGUAUUUUGAUUGUUAAAUAAAAAACUGCAGUGUUGCGUGUUCUUUUGUUUUAGCAUAAUGUUCCGCACCAGACACUACUACAAAUGAUGUUUCCAGAACGUUAUUUAAAGAAUUAAUGUUUGGCAUUCGAAUUCUUAAGUAUGCAACACUACAACUCGAUGAACAAAACUACCAUAGCAGUAACUACAUUUGUCCGAUGGAGUAAAAUCAGUUAUUUGCAGGCUUUAUUUUGUUUUGUUUGAAGAACUCGAUAAAUUGUUGUAAAGAUGAGUGAUGUUGUCAAGGCAGUUCUGCAUGUGAUAAGGUAACAGAGGCAAUCGCUAAUCUAGAGCUGCAUUUGAUGUUGCGUACCCAAAAUAAGGCCAUCAAGAGAAACACUUCAUAGAAAUUGUUAUUUUGAAUAAACGGAACCGUGUUUGGCUAACUAAACGAGCCUAACUCCACGAUAACACGAUAUUAUCCGCUUUGGGUCUAGCCCGCACGACAUUAUUUUUGGACACCUCCCAAAAGGUUUCAUACUAACUAUUGGAGUUGUUUUGACUUAAAUUCUAAUUUUAUGUCUCUCGCACAAACAAUGUGGGACAACUCCUAACAUUUCGAACCUCCAAGACCGGAAAAUUAAAAGAAACGUGUUAGAGUUCUCAACUUUAUUUUCAAAAUCUUAGUUAAUGAUUUUUAAUAGAUUUCACUCGCUCUAAUAAUAAUAGUUACUAGUACUACCAUAUUAACAAUAAUGAUUUCCGUGUUCCUCACCCUUAAUUUGCGCCAUCAAUCAUCGAAUUCUACCAAGAAUGAUGAUAGUACAGUCAUGAAUAAAUUAUAUGAGGCCAAACUAGCAAUAAAUAGCAAAAGAACAAGAACCAGCGCAAUACUAAACGUCCGCAACAAACUCUUUUUACACGUAUGGUAACAGUGACAGAGUUAACAUGCAUUACCCCUGUUUUCUCCAAAUUUCAGAAACAUCCCUUAAUAACAAAAUUUUAACAAUUUAACCACAUUCAUUACCUAACUAGCGCUCCAACUUCUGAAAAAAAAGCUUACUACCAAAGUGCAGCCCGGCCAGUUCUUUUCUCAACUUCUACGGUCUCAACUUGUUCCAUCAUUUUCCUCAGCCAUCUCUCAUCCGCGUCUCUCAGGAACUUGAACCUAGAAGGCGGUGAAGAUCUCAACGUACUAAUCCCUUCAUGAGACGACUCAACUCUCGAGUUUGGCGAAGCCAAAGGAGAAAGAUCAAGAAAAUCAUUCAAACACUUAUCUUCCAACUCCUCCUUAGUUUCUUCCUUGAUUGUGAAGAGAAAUCUUGGCGGCCCAUUAAGAUUGUGCAGCCUCAUAAGCUCUGUAUCAACACCCCCUUCACCGCAACAAUUUUUCAGAUCCUGCGUGUUCUUUUCAUCGUCUCCGCCUACUUCUAAAUCCUGUUCAUGCAAACAGCUGACCUUCACAGGAGAAGGGUGUUUUUUCGACCUUGAUAGAUAAUACAGCUUUGCUGCAAGUCCUAAGAGGAGGGUGGCACACAAGAAACUCAAGCUAAUGACGAGACCAAGAGAGAUAACCAUUUUUGCAAUUAAAAUUGACGUUAUUCAGAGGAAUGUCUCGAGUUUAAUAGCUGGGCAGAAUCACAUACACGAUGAAUUUGUGAUUCCUUUCAGAAUAAGGAAUUUUUUUUAUAUUGUUGUAAGCGCUUUUUAACGUGCAAGAAAAAAGGUUCUAUUUUUUGAACGCAGAAAAAAGGUUCUAUUGUUCGGAAUAUUUUGUCCAAACACAUCUAUAAUGAAAUAUAAUUUAUUUUCUCAUUAAUAAUAUUUUAUAUUUUCAUUUAAUUAAUUAAAAUUUACAAUCAAUCAAUCAUCAAUAUUCAAUAUAUCAAUAUAAAGGAGAAGCGAGGAACGUGUAUGUGGCGCCUCUCACAUCGCUUCGUUCUAUUUUUCAAAUUUUUUGGAAUUUUUGAAUGGAAUUUAUAGAAUAUAGUAGCUUGAAAAUUUUAAUCUGAUUUUGUUUCAGAUUAUUUAAUUAUGGGAAAUUGUAGCACACAAGUCUCUCUACACCUAUAAAUACCCCUAUAGAUUGUAGGAUUUUGAAUCAUCUAAACACAACUUUAUAAAUACCCCUAUAUAUGUUAAUUACGUGUAUAAAUUUAUUUUCAUUUUUUCAUCAUGAAUUAUAGUCCAGUUUUGCAAUUUUAUAUAUUAUUAUUGGUAUUGCAUCAAGACUUUAAUAAUGUAAAAUUUAUUUUAUUUUACAAAUAUUAAUUUUGAAUCAUUAAUAUACUUUUUAUAGACAGCCACAAAAUUAUUUUAUUCUACAAAUAUUAAUAUUAAAUCAUUAAUAUAAUUUUUUAUAGGCCGCCGCAACGCGCGGAUUUUCAACUAGUUGGAUUAAAAUGAUCAAAACUUUUAUAUUUCGAUUCUAAUUAUAUAAUAUAUUAGUUAAAUUCAUAACAUACUCGGUCACUCUUUUGAUAAAAAAUUCCAUUCCACCUGUUAUUUUACGUUUUAUUCAAUAUUUUAUAGUGUCAUCUACUUUUUGUAGUUUAUUUGGCUUUUUGGGCUUGGACAAUAAAUCUUUUCGACCCAUGUGGCAUGCAUAAUAUACAUACACCACGUACGGCAAUCGAAAAGAGAAUGAAAUAUAAGAAAAUAUGAAUACAUGAACCAUGACGAUGAAAGCUUAAAUUUAAAGCUGUUUCCGAUGUGCCCCUUUGUAUCAGAUUUCCUAUAUGAUUCUCAGUCCUAUAUACUUUCUGCUUGCUAAUUAAACGCACUACUAUUUGUUCGGACGACAGCAUUUAGUGAAGCUAAAUCAAUUCUUGUUGACGACAACUGUGUAAAUAAUAACAUGAUAUAGUUACGACAGACAUAUUCAAUUGAAAUCUUUGAAGAUUUCUUUGUUUAUUAAUCCAACAGAUUUUAAAAAAUUUAUUUGGGUUACUCGGUCAAGAUUAUAAAUAUUACAAAAAUUUGAUGAUAAUCAGUUAGAUUUUGAGUUAUUCUUCAAAAUCCGGUAAUAUUUGAUAAAAAAAAUUCAAUACAUUAAAUUUUGAUGAUAUUCGAACGCUGACAAAAUAUUUUGGACUUCAUAAAUAAUGACUUUUGUGAAUUAUUCAGUGUUUUUAUACAUUUUGAAGUCCCACCAUAAUGCAUGAAUUUUUUAAAAUGCUAUUUAAAUCCUAAUAACUCUGCAUCAAUUCUACUACAUUUUAUAUAACAUCCGCAAUGUUUUGCAUAUUAAAAUCACAUAUGAUUUAUCACUAAUUCAUAUAUUUAUUAUUAAUUGAUUAAAGGAAAAAGUUCAUAAAUAUGGCAUCCAAUUCAAUCAUUAUAUUUUAUGCCCUAAUAGUUGUUUGUUGUUAAGUCAAUAUUUGUUAGUACAAUCGGUUCUAGUAUAACCAUCCUCAUGAUGAUGAGACUGGUAUUUCAAUAUUGGUUGGUACAAUUUCUCAACCUAAAACUUCCGAUUUCUACGUCAAUUUUUUAUGAUAUGAUUUUACUGGUUAUCAUUAACUCUGGGUGAUCAUUUUUUCGGAAAAAACUCUGGACGAUCAUAGUUAAGCUAGGGAUUGGUUAAACAACAUACAAUUUUUUGGACGAUCAUUCCGUAAAAAAAAUUCUGAAAUGAUCCAUAAAUCUGUUUUGGGUUCACAUCCCAAGCAUAUUUAGGCCAGGGACCGGUUAAACAACAUAUAAUUUUCUGGUCAUUGGAUAAAUAUUCAGCGACAAGAUUAUAGGAAAAUUUUUAAUACAUCCAGCAUUUUUAACCGCUGGAUGGGGAAAACGACCCCGUCCAACGGUUAAGCAUUGGACAUGCCUAAUCCAGCACUUAAAAAACGAUGUACUUUAAUCCUGGCCGUUGGAUAUACAUCCGAUGAACGACUAUAUGUUAUUAAACCGGUAUUGUCAUACGUAUGUUGGGAUCUAAACCUUUCUGCUUUUAUUCAAGUUUUACAUAGUCCCCGAACAAUCCAUGUUAUUAAUGUUGGUGGUGACUGUCAUACGUAUGUUAGGAUCUGAACCCUUCUGCUUUUAUUCAAGUUUUACAUUGUCUCCGAACAAUUCAUGUUAUUAAUGAUGAUGGUACACCAUGUAAUCCCUCCGUCUUUUUUUUACAAUUGUUCAUUUAACUUUCAAUUAUUUUGUCAAAAAAAAACCUUUCAAUUAUCAAUUUAAUUAUUUUUUAAUUAAAACUUAAACAUAAACUUUUUAAUAUUAUAUCUUAAAAUAAAUUAUGUACUUUAUAAUAUUAUAAUUAUUUAAAUUUUUUAUAAUAUACUCCCUCCGUUCCUAUAUAUUAGACGUUCUUUGACCUAGUUUGAAUUCGUUUUUAAUAGUCGUUUUGUAUUUUCAAAACACAGCUAUUACUGUCACCUACUUAUAUUCUUGUUUUCACGCUAUGUCAUUUAUUAUUAUUUACAGUUACCUACCCACCACCUAAUACGUGAGUAUUCAUCUUCUCCCCAUCCUAUAUAUAAAGGACACUGUGUAUAUUUUGUUUAUACAUUCAUAUACAUUAUUCUAGAUUAUCUUGUUUAUUUAAACUUUUUACAGCACUUCUUAUUGAAGAUGGAGAAAAGAGAAAAGGCCAAAGAGGAAAGUAAAAGCAUCAACAAUUUGGAAAAAGGUGUGAAUCAAAAAAUCAAAUUUGAUUUGAAUGAAUUUCCUGAAGAUGAAACUGAAGUUUCUAGUCACCCGGUUGUGUUUAUGAUGUGGAAAAAAUAUUUUCCUAAAUUUCUAUGUUGUUUAGGAAGUAAUUCUAACUAGUUUGAGAUAUCAUUGGAAGUAUAUUAUGAUUUGUAAUGGAGAAUGUUUUAUGUUUAGUGAAAUAUAAUUGGAUGUUUGCUUUUCAAAUUAUAUUUCUUUUAUUUGUAAUUUGUACUAAUGUGCAAUAUUUUUUAAUUGUAAAUAUGAAGAACAUAUAUAAUUAAAUUAAACUUUAACAAGAUCCAAAAAUUUUGUUUAGAUUAUAUUUCACAUAAAACACUUAAUACAUGAUCACAAGCUUUUUAUAUUAAAAUUUUAAUUUUUAAAACAAUCUUCAAUGUGAUUAAAAAUUAGCAUCAUUUAUAUAAAAAAAAACUAAUGUAAAAGCCAAAAUUUAGAACAUAUAUAAUUCAAUUAAAUUUUAACAUUAGUAAGAUCCAAAAUUUUUGUUUACAUUAUAUUUCACAUAAAACACUUAAAACAUCAUCACAAGUUUUUUAUAUUAAAGUUUUAAUUUGUUAAAAAAAAUCUUUGAUUUGAUAAAAAAAUAGCAUUAUUUAUAAAAAAAAUUAAUGUAAAAGCCAAAAUUUAGACUUUGUACAUACUUGAUAGUUAUAUAUGACUAAUUAAUUUAGAGUUGAAUAUAUAAAGUUGUACAUAUCAAAACAUAUAUAAUUAAAGUAAACUUUAACAAGAUCCAAAUUUUUUGUUUAAAUUAUAUUUCUCACAAAACACUUAAAACAUCCUCAACAAGCUUUUUAUCACAUUUUAUCUGACGAGGGAGUUGGCCCUGUCUUUCCAAAGCUGUUUUGCUCAUAUGUGGAAUUUUAUACCUAUUUGACCCUCCCACUUUCAUAAUCUCUAGUUCUCUACCAUGCAUUGUUGUAGAGUUUUUUUUUGAUAAACAGAGAAUUUCAUUAAUAAUGAUAGAGAAACAGAAGCCACUGGAAAAAAAGGACCUAAAACAUGCAACACAGCAACUACAACUGGAGAUACUACCUGACAAAUACUACUACCGACACAUGACCUUGACCUGCUAGCUAACCUAGAUAACAGACACUAGAGAAAAGCACACAUGAAUAAGACUAAAGCCACUAGAUGCUAGCUGGGGCGUUCGAAUCUUUGAGUUUCUUCAAUUCUAAAAGCACUUCUUCAACUUCCAUCAGUUCCAGUUUUGGAGAUGAGAAUGAGACAGAGAUUUCCAAGCCCAUAUAGUUGAAAGCAGGAUCCUCUUCCGACUCCAGACGACGCAUUUCUUCUGCAAGAUUCAAACUCUGAAGCUUUUUGCGAGUCAGAUCCUCAAGAAAGUCUUUAACUGAUUUGUCUUUCCGAAUCUGCAUAUCAAGAUCCAUUCCAGCUUUAGCUUUAAGAUUUAGGAUAGAAGCCAGUUCUCCACUGUCAAUAAUCUGGAUUGCUUCUUGAGAGAAAAGACCAUCAUUAUUAAAGCUGAAACCCGAUAGAACUUUUGUUUUGCCUUUGGAAGUCGAGGCACCAGGGUCAAUAACCCCAACCGGAGGCUUAACAGGCGCAAACCUGAAGGCGACUUUCAUCGAAGCAGGAGGGCCUAGGCACGCGCACUUCUCACCAAUAGGACAGUGAUCAGGCACUGAAGAGUGAGGAUAGGGAGAGAUGCGCCUUUUCUUAGGUAAAGGGCUGGGAGGAGAGGGGGGAUCCUCCACUUCUCCAGAAUCGAACUUUUCGAUAUUCUCCACCAUGAAAGCUGGAAGGUAUAACCCCAUAUCCCUCUCAAGAUAAGUAUGAAGAUCUCCAAACAUUCCUGGAGCCUCAACAAACAAAGAGAGAUGCUCCAUCCCAUAGCUUGCCAUGUAGAUAGCAGUGGCAUUCAUUUUUGGGCUGACUAGCGAGAGCCUUUGAGCUGUGAGACCUUCCUCGAAGUGGUUGUUGUGCAAAGAAUUGAACUGAGCUAAUGCUUCCACCAGUUCGUCGACUACCACUAUUUCAUCCUGGAAUCGAAGGACUUCAAAGAUAUCUUGAUUAUCCAAAUCGAUAUGAACACGAUGUUCCUUCCACUUCAGAGCUUCUAUGACACCAGCAUGCAUGCCCCAGAGUAAGGCCUGACCCUCAGUCAUUUCAUUUAGAGGGCCAAGACCACCCCACAGCUUGUCCCCUGCCUUGUUACGAAGGAUUGCCCCUAUGCUAAUCGAGUUUCCAUUGGGGAGAGGGUGAUCAAUCUGAAGGCAAUGAAUGUUUAGUUUAACAUAGUUGGCAUCUGGAGGGCGCCACACAUCAUCCAUGCCUUCAACAGAUUUGAGAAAAAACAGAAGUGAUGCUAAGAGUGAAGGAUAAGAGCUGCUUAAAUAUCUGAACUUUGGAGCAAAUGGCAUCAUGAACUGCACUGGGAAGAGCAAAAAAACGGCGGCCUGCAUGGAGGGAAACCAAAUGUGCAUUGAAAAUGAACAAAGAGAUCCUGGCUUGGGAAAAACAGCAAGCAAAAUAUUUUUCUGCACCACUGUGAUUGGGCAAGCGUCUCCCUAAGCUGUACCACCAAAUAUUAGAAUCCAAGAAGUAAUUAUACUUAAUAGAAUAGGCCUCCUUUAUUAGCAAACGGGCAAAAAAUAGGCAAUAAUAUUCAUCCCGGAGUUGAUCAACCAUUGGUGCCAGAGUUUGAAUUUUCAGCCCAAAAGAAGGAGCCACGAGGCCUGUCCAGGCCCGCUUUUGCAAAGGAGUCUGCAUCCAGAUUUAAUUCUUUUAGACCAUAAUGAACAAAAAUGGAGGAAUUGAUUAAAUGGGCCAAAUUUAAUGGACCUUCAAUCAGAUAAUAUGCUUUUAAUCCAGAGUUGACCAGCCCAAUGGCCUCCACCGAAUCCGAGCAUAUCACUAAAUUUCGGCAUGCAAUUCUAUUAUCCAGAAAUAGCCUAAUUACAUAAAUAAUACCAUCAACCUCUGCUUGCUUGCUUGUCUGAGCGUUAAUUUGCGUAGAAAAGGAGUGAAGAAUGACUGAAUUCCCUUUCCAAAUUUUUCCUCCUAUUGCACCCACCAGAACUUUCGAGGUGUUACAACCCCAGGCCCCGUCUACCGCACACACCAAAUCAAAAUUGUCUGAUUUGAAUUUCCAGUAAUCUUUGUUGACUCUAUAAAAAUAUAAAGCAAUUGCCCCUUGUGGAUUUACAUGCCACAAAGUGUCGUUACCAAAAGAAAUUAUCUUUGAAGAAGAACCCCACUUAUUAAUUCUUGCAAUUAUCAAAUUAGCUAAGGAUUUUGAGCUCAUGCGAGUACCAUUGAACACUUGGUCAUUUCUAGCUAGCCAAAUGGUCCAAAGCACAGCACUAACUGAAAGGUGCCAGAUAGGGGAGGACCUCACAUCUUUAAUGGUAAACAAUAGGGAUUUCAGAGAGAAAUGAUUACGACCUAACAAGCGAGGCUUGCUCCACCAUGAGGAUAGGAAUAGCCAGCAAGAUUUUGCUAAGGAGGAUUUCCAGAAAAAGGUGAUCUAAAUCUUUAGGCUCGAUGUCACACCAAGAACAUCUUUGAUUAAUGGAGUUGAUACGGCAACUCAGGAAAACUUUAGUUGGGAGGAUCAUGCGUUGAAUCUUCCAUAAAAAAAUCAAAACUUUCGGAGGGGCUUUAAUUCUCCAUAAGACCUUCCAGAAACGAUCACGAUCCACUGGUAAGCUUGUAGAAAGACUUAGCCUUGAGAACGAUUUCGUAGUGAAUUCCCCAUUACCUGGGAUCCAGCACAACUGAUCAUUGUUUGUGCAGUCUAGCUAAGUAGCCCAGACUAAGAUAUUAAGAUGGGAAAAUUUUGAUUGGUAAAGUGGAGACUAGAAAUUGAGGUUGAAUAAUUUCCCCACUUCUUCUGAUUUCCAUCGAUCACAGAAUUCUUUAACUGACACAUGUUUUAAAAAACACACCUUAUAGAUGCUGGGAAAUUUGAGUUGUAAUGGCCCAUCUAAGCACAAGAAAUCCUCCCAGAAGUAGGUUGUCCUGCCAUUUCUGACUUUCCACUUAAAACAGAGCCGAGAAAUAAGCGCAGCAGCUGAGUCUAUUGAAUGGAUGGAUUAAAAGCUUUUAAAAAUAUCUGAGCAGUUGGACCUAUUGACUACCCCUGCCAAGUUGUACUGAAUUUGAGGACCAUGAUGAUUUUUUAAAACUUCAUUCCACAAUUUAUUCCUAUCAUGAUAGCACUUCCACCACCACUUUGUUAGUAAAGAUGUAUUUCUAGUUCUAAGAGGGACCAGCCCUAGACCUCCAUCUUGCCUAGGCUUGCAAAUCUCUCCCCACUUAAGACGAUGAAUUUUAUUUUUGUCUGCAGAGGAGCCCCAAAGAAAAUUUCUUCUGAUUUUUUCGAUUUCAUGAAGAGUGGCCGAGGGGAUUGAGUACAUGCCAAACCAAAAUAUAGGAAUGCUAUCAAUGGAUGCCUUCAGAAGAAUUAAUUUUCCAGCCAUUGACAUACCUUCCGUAAACCAUCCCUUCAAUUUCUGCCUUAGUUUGCCUAACAACGGAUCCUAGAAGGCCAAUCGCUUAGGGGAGACUCCUAUUUGAGCACCUAAAUACUUGAUGGGACCUACCCCUACUCGACAAUUUAAAAUAUCAGACCAUUCCAACAUCUUCUCUUCAGGAUCGCCAAAACCAUAGAUGUUGCUUUUCUGAAAAUUGAUCUUUAACCCGGACGUUCCUUGGAAGCAUUGAAGAAUUAUCUUAACCCCUUUUAUUGAAUCUGACUCAUUUUUGAUGAACAUGAUUACAUCAUCUGUGUAUUGAAGAUGGGAAAUGGAUCUUGAGCUAGAAGGGAGAGAAACUCCUUCGAAAAGGCCUAUGGCCUUGGCCUUGGAGAGCAUGGAAGAAAGCACCUCCCCACAGAGGAGAAAUAAAAGGGGGGAAAGAGGGUCUCCCUACCGCAAUCCCCGCAUGGGAGAAAACUCCUCCGUUGGGGAACCGUUAACCAGAAUAGAGAUACGAGACGAGUUGAAUAUGUUCAUAAUACAGUUAAUCCAUCUGGAGUCAAAAUUCAUCUUUUCCAAUACCGAUUUUAUGAAUUGUCAAUUCACCGUAUCGAAGGCCUUGGUGAAAUCAAGCUUAAGGAUGACACCUUCGCUAUUUUUGGCUCUCAGGCUCGCAUACAUUUCCGACAUAAGCAGAAUACCCUCUGUCAUCUGCCUACCUUUAAUAAACACAGUUUGAUUUUCUGAAAUCAACAUGUCCAUAACUCCCCGUAGGCGAGACGCCAGGACUUUAGUCAACAACUUCAUGACACAGUUCAUCAAACUGAUUGGCAUGAAGUCUGUAAUUUGCUUGGCCCCUUUUAUCUUUGGAAUUAAAGCAAUGAAGGAAGAAUUUAACCCCCCUGGAAUGGUGCCUGAGUGGUAAAAAUCGACAAAAAAAUCAAACACUUCCUGUUUUAUUUGGCCCCAUAAUGCUUUUAGAACGCCCAUGUUGAGACCAUCUGGACCAGGGGCUUUAGAGGGACUCAUGCAAUUCAGAGUUGCUUCCAAUUCCUCCAUAGAAAACAUAUCAACCAGGAAGCUUUCACUUUCUUUAAUUUCCAGGCCAAACUUUUCCUACCUUGUAGAGACCAGUUAUGUCUAAGUGUAGACAUCAAUUCAUCCUCCUUCAGCCAACAAUUAAAAAACUUGGAAGGUUUUGGACCCCAAGAGGUAUUACCUGACUUGACUAUUAUCGGUCUAUGGUCUGAGGAUUUCCUAUGAACACCUUGAGAGAACCAAUCUCCAGUGACCAUCCAAGAAGCAUUCAGAAGGCCCCUAUCUAGUCUGCCCUUCCUGCCUUUUGGGCCAAACCAAGUGAAGUCGCAGUUACACAGUUGAAUGUCUAGCAACGAAUUAUCCAAUAGAAAUUUAGAAAAUUCCAUAGAAUCCCUUUCCCUGAAGAUGCAAUUCUCCUUUUCUUGAUCUGACAACACUGCAUUAAAAUCUCCAAUAAGCAGCUGAGGAACAUUUCUUAGUGAGUCUAGCAUGCUCGAAAUUUCGCUUCACAUUCUGGUCUUCUCUCUUCCCUUCUGAGGAGCAUAUACAUUUACGCACAAGAAUUUCUCUCCUGAACUGAUUACUGAUCCAAGCAUCAUUAUCCAAUUCCUGUCAACUUCCAUUGAAUCAAUCUUAACUAGGUUACUAUCCCAUACAGUAAUCAAGCCCCCAGAUAAACCAGUCGAAGCCACUUCCGCCCAAUCAACUUGUUUCCCUGGCAUAAGGGCCAUAACUUCCCUUGGAUUCCAUUUUCCACACUUCGUCUCUUGGAGACACAAGAUAGCAAUAUUUUCUCCUGAAAAAUUAGUCCUAACAUGAUGUCUGUUCACUCCACUGAUUGCACCUCUAAUAUUCCAACUUGCUAUUUUAAGACAAUCCAUAGAAAGCUUGAAUGAUGGAAGGAAAAAACUAUUCAAACACCCAGAUUAUCUCUAAUUAAUUUUAGAGAUGCUUCCUUGUCAUGAAUUGGAAUAAGCCCCAUCAUAAUACCUGUCUCAAAGAUGGCUUGAGCUUCAUCUCUAUUGUCAAUUCCUUUACCUACACAGAUUUUCGGUAGACCCGGCCCUUUAUGAGAGCAUUUUCUCUUAGGGACUUUAAGCGAUUUGUUAUCUCUUUCUUUUUUUGACGAUCUGGGUCUACCUCGCUUAGGCUUAAUCCUCAUUUUUACCAAGUCAUUCAUAAUAGAGUUGGAGACCUCUCCGAUAACUGCUGUAUCAUUGCCUGAGGCAUGAUCUAAAGAGGAAAUCGAGUGAGAAUCCUGUUUACCUGUAAUGGUAGAGUCAGACUCCGCUGCCCUUGGUUUCCAGUUGGCUAUGUCCACAAAGUGCUCGGGAUCUACCUGAGAAUUUUCCUCAGAAGACACCCUUACUAACUCCUGAUUUGUAAGUCUUGAUGCUACCACAUCCAUUUGGGAUUCCUCCACGAAGCUAUUGCCCGAACUUAAAACUGAUUUUGGGGAGACUAUAGCAGUCCACUGUACUUUCCUCAUCGCUUUUUGACGCAAUUUUCCCACUUUUUACAUCUGCUUCUUCAUCCUUGGCCUUCUCAUGAGAUAAAGUUCCUAAUGUGGGAGGGGGAUUACUGAACACUUUAUUCGAAAGGAUAGGAGAAGAACUUGGUCUGUGUACACAAUUCGGGGAAGGAGAUAUGGAAGGCAAAUGAAUCUCCCGAGAGUGAAGACACACCUCAAUUAAUCUAAUUUUUAUGUCUUCUCCAUCCAACAUGAUAUUAAGCUCUAUGUCGAUGUUGGAAUUCUCCCAAGUUUCAAUCAGGAUCAGAGGAUUCCAAUAUCUGCCCGCCUCAUCUUCCCCCAUUUUCCAGUGUACAACUCUACCCACGCCUCCAACUAAUUGUUCCAGAUUCUUCUCAGUCCAGCCCAGUAGAAGAAGUCCUCUAAAUUCCAACCAGCAUUCUCUAGAAACAGUUAAUCGCCCUUUCUGUACAUCUUCCACUUUCUCAAAGCAUAACUCCAGAAGAUCUCUAUCCAGAUGUUCCGUAGAUUCAACCCCAUUAAAAUGAAUGAAGAAAUUCCUCGAACCCAAUUGUUUGACUUCCAAAUCAACGUAACCCAAACCAGAUAAAAUUGUUUCCACUCUUUGUGCCUUCAUUGGGAUCGCAGAUUCUAUCAAUAAGCUGGAUUUCAGUUGAUCCGCAAAAAUUUUAUCGGAAUACAGACAAAUAUUCUCCGAGAUAAUAAUAUUCAACUUAAAAUAAUAUUCAACUUAAAAAUAUUAAGGUCAAGUUAUGUAUACUUCUUUGGAUACAAUAUAUACGAUCAAGUAUAUGUUUAAUAAAAAAAAAUGGUUAAGUUGAGAGUAAUUAAAAAGGUCUUUUCUUUUUAAACUCAAAGUGCUUAAGAUUUCACAAGUAUUCUUUUUCUUUUUAAAUUCGUAUUUUCUACAAAUAUCACUCAUAGUAAAGAUAUAAUCAUUAUCAAAUUAUAUCAUUUAAAAUUUUAAACCUACUUCAUAUUUUAAAAUUUUCAAUUCAAAUAAAAGUAUAAUGGAUAGUUUUUAGACCAAAUAAAUGAGAAGUGAUUAAUAAAAGGACUUUUUGAGCCUGAGAUUAGGGGUUGGGUUUUAACCUAGGAAUGACAGAACUUUCCGAACUGCGGAUAUCCGACUGAACUGAUCCGAAUGCUUUUUACAGAACUCAGUUUCUUGUGUAUAAUAUUUAUGUUCAUUUAUUUUUAAUAAGCUAUUAACAAAAGGUUUUUAAAAAGCUAAAUUAAUAACACUUAACUAAUACUUCAAAAAAAUUGAGCUUCUUUUUUAAUCAUGAAUUAUUGUAAUUGCUAAUUUAUUCAUACAUAUAUUAAUAUGUUUGUAAUAAUUUGAGUAUAUAUUAAUUUUUAAAUAAAAAACCCGUUUAUACACCUAUAUUUUAGAUAUAUUAUUUAAUAUUUUUAUAUAAUUUUGGGGUUUCGUAUGGUUCGAGUUAGGGGUGAACACGGGUCGGGUUGGCCGGGUUAGGGACAAAAAUUCAACCCAACCCAAUAUAAUCGGUUUAUGAAAACUCGAACCCGUUAACCCUGAAAAAUAUUUUCAACCCAACCCUAUUAUUCACACAUCGGGUUGGUUUGGGUCGGGUCGGUUUGUCGGGUUUUAUUCAUUGUUUGGUAUAGUAUUUGGGGCUAUAGAUAGUAUGGUGUUUGCGGUGGCAGUAGCAACAGAGCCAAUGUUUAUAUAGAUAAACAAUGUUUAUAUAGACAAACAUUGUAGAAAAGAGAGACAAAGUGUAUGUGACCACUGACCUGGAACUUACAAGGCUACUACAUGUGACCACUGACCUGGAACUUACAAGGCUACUACAUCAAUAACAGAAAUCCCAAAACAACAUUUGCAUAUUAAUCUAAGGAUGGUUACAAACUUAUAAGAUGAAAAUAUUAUUCUUUAUUUCCUAGUAACUUAAACGGGUUGGGUUGGUUUGGGUGAGGGUUAAUAAUUUAAAAACCCUAACCCAACCCAAUUAUAUUCGGGUUGAUAAAAAAUGAACCCAAUAAUUUUUCGGUUUUGAACGGUUCGGUUUGUUCGGCCGAAAUAAGGGGCGGGGUGGGUCGGUUUUGCGGGUUAAACGGUUUUUUGUUCACCCCUAGUUCGAGUUUCGUUCUUGAACUUCGUUUCGGUUCAUACUUGGUUUUGAAAAACACUAUUGAAUUAGGGUUUGAUUUUCGUUAAAAUCCAACUCUAGUGAUCAAUUGCCACCCCUAUUUCAACCUAGUAGUGCCUACCUUGUUGAAAUAUACUACAUCUUUAACAACAAUGUCAGACGACUUUGAAUCCUUGGGGCUGAGCUCAAACAUAAUAGAAGGAUGUACUCGUAAUGGCUACAAUCGUCCUUAUCGUUUACACCAGGAUGUGAUUCCCGGCAUUCUUUCCGGGCGGGAUGUUGUAGUAUUGGCUCCAUCUUGUUCCGCCAGAAUUUUAUCUUUUGUGGCUCCUUUACUUGACAAGUUGAAUAGGCAGCCGAGUAUUAAUUCUAUCAGGGCAUUGAUUCUUACUCCAACUAAAGAUUUGGCACUUGAGAUUGUGAAGAUUGUUCGAGUUGUUGCUCAGUUUACAGGUCAGAUUUAUAUAUAUGUCUUGGUGCUGUUUUUUUUUUUUUUUAAUUGUGUGAUAAUAUAUAUGUCUAUGCUAUUAUAUUUCUUGUUUUAACUUAAAGAUUGGAUCUUGAUUGAGAAAUUGUUGUUUUUUUAGCUUAAAGGUUGGAUCUUCAUCUUUAAAAUUGAUGUUUUUGUCACUGCCGAAAAAUCCCACUUUUGUCGACAAAUUAUAGCCAUAGCUACUUUAGAAUUAGGAUUGGAUUUUCCGGCAAGAACUCUAUGAUUAACUGUGCAUGUUUUUUUUUAUUAUUAAGAAGUUAUAUCAGGGCAUUGAUUCUUACUCCGAGUAAAGAUUUGGCAUAUCAGAUUGUAAAGCUUGUUCGACUACUUGCUCAAUUUACGGGUCAGAUUUAUUUAUAUUUUUGAAACUGUUUGUUCUUGUACACUUCGGCUACAUAAUCUUAAGCCUUUUGCUUUAGAUAAUAACAAUAUUUUGUCAUAUCUAAAUACUUAUCUUUCCAAAACUAAGACCUGGAGUUAAAGUCAUAUAACAGCAGUUCAUAUUACUAUUCAAAUUUCGACUGAGUGUUUGAAAUCCAAAUUUGCAAAGUUGCAUAUUCUGAGAGCAAAUAGUCUUUCCGCAAGGAGAGAAUUAUAGUUCUGAGUUUGCUUCCCAUUUCUUAUUUUCCUUUUAGUUUUAUGAAGUGCACAAGUCUUUUUAUAUAAACUUGUUGAUGAUAUUUCCCAUUCCGCUAGGUCUUCGCAUUGGUUUACUAGUUGGCGAUAAUAAGACAGAGAGUCUCUUUGAGGAAUUGACACUGCAGAACCCUGAUGUUAUGAUUGCAACUCCAGAUAACCUGAAAGGUCAUUUGUCUCACGUUAAAGAUAUGUUAUUGCAUAAUGUGGAAUGCAUUGUUCUUUAUGAAGUGGAUUGUCUUCUCAGCCUGGGAUUUGCAAAACAUCUGCGUCAAAUACUGUUCCAUAUUAAUCAAAAACACCAAACUUUGCUUUUCGUUAAAGAGAUACCACAUGAAAUACCACCUGCCCUUGUCUAUUUCUUCAAAUCUGUUACACAAGACCCUGCCAUUGUGCGCCAUCAUAGUCAAAUAAGAAGUACUUUGAAGCUUAUAUUUUUCACUUUGAGCGAGGAAGAGAAAAGUGCGGCUGUGCUGUAUUUAAUCAAUGAACGUAUUCGAUGCGAUGAAAAGACAUUGCUGUUUGUUCCUACAGAAGAUCAUGCUGAGUUUCUUAAACUUAUGUUUAUGGAUAAGGGUAUUGAGCCAUCUAUAUGCUAUCGUAAUAUGGACAGAGAUGAACGCAUACUUGAGGUAUCAAGAUUCAAAGAAGGAAAAAGUAUGCUGCUGAUCACUACGGACGUAGCGUAUCAGAUCAUGAUAACCCCGUUGGCUGAUAACGUUAUCAGUUGGGACUUCCCUACCCCUAAGCGUUUCCUUUUUCGAGUAAUGAAAACUGCAAUGCAUGGUCCGGGCACAGCAUAUUCUUUUGUAACACGUGAGGAUAUUCCCUAUGUUCUGAAUUUUCGCUUCUUUCUCUUGGAAGAGCUCACGGCUGCUCCUGCUCCCACUGAGGAACAGAUAAUGCGAGAUGCCGAUAUGUUGGAAGUUGUUUCCGAAAUUGAUCAAGCAAAUGCGAGAGCAGGAGAUAUUUUAUAUGGUAGAUUGCCGCCAAUAAAAGCUGACAUUUAUGCUGAUAUUGUUCGUAAAUUAUUGGAUGCUUCACCGGAAUUAAAAUCAAUGGUGCUGCAGCAGUAAAUGUGCUAAUAAAUUAUAAACGUGAGCAUGGUGUGCACUAUUUUUAGAAAUGCAAAGGAGUUCUGAGAUGCCAUAUGAACAAAUUGAAUCCCGUUACCCUUUAAGAUUUUCUUUUUCUGCAAACUUCGUUACCAUUGUACAAGCUAUGUAUAUGUUUUUGUUGUGUAAAAUACUUUGGUGGUUGCUCUAUUUGAAUUAAAAUUAAAUUAUAAGCACUCAUUUUUGUUUGAUAUACUUUCUCUUCUCUCUUUUUUUCCCCUUUCCUUUUGUUGCAUUCUAAAUUAAAGAAAAUUGGUUCAACAAUUCCAUUACUCAAUUGGGCCUAUAUGGUCGAUGUUAGAAGUCAAGUUCUAUAUCAAGGGCAUGUUGGAAUAUGAAAUGAAAUAGUUGGAUCUGUGUAUGUUAAACAUAAAUUUAGAAAUUACCAGAGGGCAGAGCUGCAGAGGAAGAAAACAUUUGGUACACACUUGAGGAAAAAAGGCUUGUAAAAUUAUCUAUCUUUUUCUUUGGCUGUUGAAACUACAUGUAGUUAUACAGUUUUACGGCUAUGUGUACAUGUGUAGGAUCGAAGAUGUACAUGUCCAGCGGUACUUUGAAAUGAUAAUAUCUUCCAUGUGUAUAUGAAUCUUACUUCGAAUCUUCCAUGUGUAUAUGAAUCUAACUUGGAAUUACAUAAAGGAUAAAUUACCAAAUGAGGUUGUGCCGAUAAGAAUUAUAUAAAGAAUAAAUUACCGAAUGAAGUUGUGCAAGGAUAAAUUAUCAAAUGAGAUUGUGCCGAUAAGAAUUAUGUAAAGGAUAAAUUAUCGAAUGAGGUUGUGAUGAUAAAUAUUAUGUAAAGGAUAAAUUAGCGAAGAAUUUACCUUCGAUAGAUAUAUGACAGAAGUGAAUUAUAAUAUUAAUUAUAUCGGGAAAAAUUCUGCAAAUACAUUAAUUAUAUCAUAUUGGAAAUAGAGUUUUUAUUAAAAAAGAAUCACAUAAAAAUGAAUUGUAUACCGAAAAAAAAAUUAAAUAUCACGUUUUCAAAAUGUAGCUAUAAGUAUCACAUUAAAAUAUAGUGUUAGGCUUAUACAAUAAAACGCUACACAAUAUAAAAUUUAAAAAAUAAAUUAUACAGAUUUGGACUUUAAACAUCAAAUAAAUUAAAAUUACCUCGUUAUAUCAUCUUAUGUGAGUGUUACACAUAUUUGUAAUUAUUUUUCUAUGAGUUUUAAAAAACAAAUAAGCGUUACAAAAUACAGUGUUUCUUUUUUUAUAUAUAUAAAAAUAAAUUAUAAACAUUAAAUAAUAUAAUAUUAUCAAAAUAAUAUUUGAGAUCAUAUUUCUGAAUAUGAUAUUUGAAAUAUUAUUAAUUAAAAUUGUGAUAUAUAUAUAUCCAUCAAUAAUAUAAUAUAAAGUUUCAAUUAUUGGACAGCAAGCCCCUCCAAUAAGAUAAAAAGUUUCAGUUAUUGGUUAGUGAAGCUGCUCAGUGCUCACUCCAUUACAUUUACUUGUCGACAGAAGUUUAGUUAGUAAAGCAACAGACACGAGAGUCUUGAGCCUCAGCCCUCUAAAGGUCGAUCCAGCAGCUUGUAAGCUAGUAGUAUAUUGUUCAACUCCUUUGUAUAUUGUUAAUGCAUGUGUAUAUGAUCAUGAUCUAAAUCUCACUUGCUUGAAGUCACUUUAGUUCACUUGUUCCUAGGUUUCUGAAUCUACUAGUUUUGUCUUCUGUCUUUCUUUAUGUCUAUUACUUAAAAAUCUGCCUAGAUGAUCUGGGUGUGUUGAUGAGUUGAAUAAGUCCUUUUUAAUAUGACCCAUUUACCUAGGUUUAGUUUAACAUUUUUUAUUUUAUUAUUUGAUCAUAGUGUUCCUCACUAGACACUACAAAGUACAAAUGAUGUGUGCAGUUUGUAUAAUUUAUGUACAUGUAUUUUAUUGCUAGGAAUGUUAGUAAGAACAUGUGUAAAUUGUAAAUUUGUAAUAUAUUAUAAAGUUGUUUCAACUCUCUUAAAUUUAUGGUACAUGUGAAUCAGUUUCGGUCACGGGAAAUGUUGCAAGUUGAGGUUAUUUAAUCUGAAGGGGGAACUUGUUUUGGGGACGAGGAAAAAUGGUCCCUUAAUCUGUUGAAGAAUGUGGUGAAAUUGAGUUUAUAUGAAUGAAUAUUGCAUAACCGAACUUAAGGGGUUUAGCCUGGUGCUAAUAGCACCACUCUCCGGUGACAAAGGCCGUGGUUUAAGUUCCUCUUCCUCCCCUGUACUUGCUAAAACUAUGUAACUUAUCGAGAGAUAUAUUGAAUGAUAGCCCUUCUCUUGAUGACAAAACCAUAUCUCUUAAAGAUUAAUUUCAUACUGUUUGGGAAUAUAUUAAAUACUGACACAAAUAUUGUUUGGAAUUAAUUGUGAGAUGUAAACCUGGUAGGAUUCUGGUAGAGUUGGUUCAGAUUUCUUUUCUUUUUGAAAUCAGGGUGAAUAAUUCGCUUGCAGAAAAAAAAUGCAUUUAAGAAUAUUAUUGUAAAGCUAUUUUAUUGCUCAAUCUUGCUUUGUUUGACAUUUCUUUUUCUUUGAAAUUUGUAUAGAGUAAAUACAUACGAGAUGUGCUCAAAAUAGUGUUUGUUCAACAUUUAUAUAAUUGGAUAGGUUUAAGAUGAGUUGCUAUUGGGGACCAGAGGAUAUUCACGACUCCUUGGCAGCACCUUUACUUUUAAUUUUUGACCAUUAUUAACAGUCUAUAUAGAUUAUAUGUUUUCAAUCUCUUAUCCUUCAACUUUAAAAUUCUGUAUAUUCCACUAUUUGUCAAUCGCUUAAUUUUAAGAAAUUGUUGUGUUGGCAGUUUGCUAUAAUGAGCGUACAUCUGAGGAACUGACUGCUUUUGUGACAAAUUUCUUGUCUCAUCACCUAGUGAUUCUCUUUGUUCUGUUAGUGGUUUCUCUUAUUCGGGGUUUCAUGUUAAGUAUAUGUGUUAUGUAUUUGCAUGUGCUUUAAUUUAAUAAGAUUUAUAGUGUGUGUAUAUUUUCAGUUUAGGUUACACAAAUACACCUGCAAAUAUUUUGCCAAUUUACGCAAUUAUUCAUUAGGAUGAUUAUACAUAAAUCAGGUGUGCCACUUUCUGCUUGUUAAUAACCCAAGUAGAUGCAUUCAUACUCAUUCUCUCCGUAUCAGUAAAACCAAGUACUAUAAAAUGGCCACCGUUAGCUUAAAACUCCUUGUAGACAACAGCACCGGGAAGGUAAUCUUUGCUGAAGCGGGGAAAGAUUUUGUGGACUUUUUAUUUGGACUGCUAGAAAUUCCACUAGGAUCUCUGCUGAAUCUUCUAGACGGGGAGGGGAUGUGUAAAUCCUGGACAUUGAGCAAAGUCUACCAAAGUGUGAAUAAACUUGGCAAUGAAUACUUACAGACCAAUCAAACGAAGCAGAAUCUACUGAAUCCUGCCAUGCCUGAAUCAAACACCAAAGCUGCCCCUUUUAUUCAACAAUUGGGAUAUCGGAAGUCACAAUGUUCAUCCAGUUCUUUUGUCUUUGGAAAAAAUGUUGAUAAGACAGAAGUGGAUGGGUAUGUUAAAGGAUCAGUGACGUAUAUGAUUUCAGAUGACCUCACAGUGAAGCCCCUGUCCUGCAUUUCUUGCUUAAGUCUUAUCAACAGUUUAGGUGUCAAAGACAUUGGUACUCUGGAAGAAAAGAUUGUGAACAUCG